rnacentral:rRNA from 1 species
GACGUAGGGCGCGAGCGUUGUCCGGAUUUAUUGGGUUUAAAGGGUGCGUAGGCGGUCUUAUAAGUCAGUGGUGAAAUACGGCAGCUCAACUGUCGAGGUGCCAUUGAUACUGUAGGACUUGAGUACAGACGAGGUAGGCGGAAUUGACGGUGUAGCGGUGAAAUGCUUAGAUAUCGUCAAGAACACCGAUAGCGAAGGCAGCUUACUAGGCUGUAACUGACGCUGAGGCACGAAAGUGUGGGGAUCAAACAGG